rnacentral:rRNA from 1 species
GACGAACGCUGGCGGCGUGCUUAACACAUGCAAGUCGAACGGUGAAGGGACCGGUUUUUGCUGGUUCUGGAUGAGUGGCGAACGGGUGAGUAACACGUGAGUAACCUGCCCCCUUCUUCUGGAUAACCGCAUGAAAGUGUGGCUAAUACGGGAUAUUCUGCGCCUGCUGCAUGGUGGGUGUGGGAAAGAUAUUGUUUCGGUGGGGGAUGGGCUCGCGGCCUAUCAGCUUGUUGGUGGGGUGAUGGCCUACCAAGGCGGUGACGGGUAGCCGGCCUGAGAGGGUGGACGGUCACACUGGGACUGAGACACGGCCCAGACUCCUACGGGAGGCAGCAGUGGGGAAUAUUGCACAAUGGGCGCAAGCCUGAUGCAGCGACGCCGCGUGAGGGAUGGAGGCCUUCGGGUUGUAAACCUCUUUCGCCAAUGAAGCAGGCCUGUCCCUUUUGUGGGUGGGUUGACGGUAGCUGGAGAAGAAGCGCCGGCUAACUACGUG